AUGCAGGUCUUUGUGAUGGCGUUAGUCUUUGUAAAUGGUAAAACUGAUUUGAUAGAAAAAGUAAUUCAGACUCUUUGUUUAGUGCUUUCUUCCUGUCAGGCUGUAAGCUGAGAGUGUAACAGAUGAACUUGGAGCUUGUUUUGCGAAAUGUUCAUGAUUUCUCAUGUCAAAAACAUCUUUUUCUUAAUCUUUUUUUAACACAAAACAUUUUUUUUUCAUUCCAGUGCACUGCUUUUUAAUUUGUUUUCUUUGUGCUAGAUGAAUGUCUUUUGCUGUUGCACCACGUCGAGCGUCUUGACACCAUGUCAAUGUGUCUUGAGACCAUAGGAGGCCUAGGCCUUGUCCAUACUAACACGUUUUGUUUAAAAACACAUCUUUUUCUCUCCUUUAUGACCUUCCGUCGACACUGAGACUGCAUUUUUGCACUUUUGGUUACUUUCCACUCCAGUGCUUUGCAUCUUGAGCUUUCUGUGAAUGUUCCCGUACACAGCCAAACGCCCUAAAAGGAAAAUAAUGCGACCUAACAAGCAGAAAGUGAACAUAUGUACAGCUGUUCAUCACUGGAGCGAUCCGGGAGCUUCGGUGUGCUCGAAAACAGAUGCCGAACUUACUUUGCUUGCACUUGACAGCAUAAAGCCCAUGUGGCGUUCCUCAGAGGACUGGAUCGUAUGGCCCUUCUGUGAUGUUGAGUUGUUGUUUGGAAAAAUGUUGCCUAGUGGACAUCAUAUCAGGCCUCCGUCCUCUUUUGUUAUAUGUUCCCAGUCCUGUUGGUUGAUCCAUGUUGAAGUUGAAGAUGCUACAUUGAAUUUCUACCAGUGAUAAGUUGUGUUCUCUGGCACAGACCCAUCUUCCCUGCAUACCCAGCCUUCCCGGGCCCAGAAGACUGUCAGGCA